UUCAGUGAAAUCGAGUAGGGCGGGACACGUGAUAUCCUGUCUGAAUAUGGGGGGACCAUCCUCCAAGGCUAAAUACUACUGACUGACCGAUAGUGAACCAGUACCGUGAGGGAAAGGCGAAAAGAACCCCUGUGAGGGGAGUGAAAUAGAACCUGAAACCGUGUACGUACAAGCAGUAGGAGCAGGCUUGUCCUGUGACUGCGUACCUUUUGUAUAAUGGGUCAGCGACUUAUAUUCAGUGGCAAGGUUAACCAUCUAGGGGAGCCGUAGGGAAACCGAGUCUUAACUGGGCGUUCAGUCUCUGGAUAUAGACCCGAAACCAGGUGAUCUAGCCAUGGGCAGGUUGAAGGUUGAGUAACAUCAACUGGAGGACCGAACCGACUAAUGUUGAAAAAUUAGCGGAUGACUUGUGGCUAGGGGUGAAAGGCCAAUCAAACCUGGAGAUAGCUGGUUCUCCCCGAAAGCUAUUUAGGUAGCGCCUCGGACGAAUACUACUGGGGGUAGAGCACUGUUAAGGCUAGGGGGUCAUCCCGACUUACCAACCCUUUGCAAACUCCGAAUACCAGUAAGUACUAUCCGGGAGACACACGGCGGGUGCUAACGUCCGUCGUGGAGAGGGAAACAACCCAGACCGCCAGCUAAGGUCCCAAAUUACUACUAAGUGGGAAACGAUGUGGGAAGGCUCAGACAGCCAGGAUGUUGGCUUAGAAGCAGCCAUCAUUUAAAGAAAGCGUAAUAGCUCACUGGUCGAGUCGGCCUGCGCGGAAGAUGUAACGGGGCUAAGUAGUAAACCGAAGCUGCGGCAAUAUACUUUUGUAUAUUGGGUAGGGGAGCGUUCUGUAAGCGGUUGAAGGUGUGUGGUAACGCAUGCUGGACGUAUCAGAAGUGCGAAUGCUGACAUGAGUAACGAUAAAGGGGGUGAAAAACCUCCUCGCCGGAAGACCAAGGGUUCCUGUCCAACGUUAAUCGGGGCAGGGUAAGUCGACCCCUAAGGCGAGGCCGAAAGGCGUAGUCGAUGGGAAACGGGUUAAUAUUCCCGUACUUCUUACAAUUGCGAUGGGGGGACGGAGAAGGCUAGGUGGGCCUGGCGACGGUUGUCCAGGUUCAAGUGCGUAGGCUGAGAGAUUAGGUAAAUCCGGUUUCUCUUAAGGCUGAGACACGACGUCGAGCAUCUACGGAUGUGAAGUCAUUGAUGCCAUGCUUCCAGGAAAAGCCUCUAAGCUUCAGAUUGUAAGGAAUCGUACCCCAAACCGACACAGGUGGUCGGGUAGAGAAUACCAAGGCGCUUGAGAGAACUCGGGUGAAGGAACUAGGCAAAAUGGUACCGUAACUUCGGGAGAAGGUACGCUCUCGACGGUGAAGUCCCUUGCGGAUGGAGCUAUUGAGAGUCGCAGAUACCAGGUGGCUGCAACUGUUUAUUAAAAACACAGCACUGUGCAAAAUCGUAAGAUGACGUAUACGGUGUGACGCCUGCCCGGUGCCGGAAGGUUAAUUGAUGGGGUUAGACUUCGGUCGAAGCUCUUGAUCGAAGCCCCGGUAAACGGCGGCCGUAACUAUAACGGUCCUAAGGUAGCGAAAUUCCUUGUCGGGUAAGUUCCGACCUGCACGAAUGGCGUAAUGAUGGCCACGCUGUCUCCACCCGAGACUCAGUGAAAUUGAAAUCGCUGUGAAGAUGCAGUGUACCCGCGGCUAGACGGAAAGACCCCGUGAACCUUUACUACAGCUUGGCACUGAACAUUGACCCUACAUGUGUAGGAUAGGUGGGAGGCUUUGAAGCACGUACGCCAGUAUGUGUGGAGCCGUCCUUGAAAUACCACCCUUGUAGUGUUGAUGUUCUAACGUCGACCCCUAAUCGGGGUUGCGGACAGUGCCUGGUGGGUAGUUUGACUGGGGCGGUCUCCUCCCAAAGAGUAACGGAGGAGCACGAAGGUGGGCUAAUCACGGUUGGACAUCGUGAGGUUAGUGCAAUGGCAUAAGCCCGCUUGACUGCGAGAAUGACAAUUCGAGCAGGUGCGAAAGCAGGUCAUAGUGAUCCGGUGGUUCUGAAUGGAAGGGCCAUCGCUCAACGGAUAAAAGGUACUCCGGGGAUAACAGGCUGAUACCGCCCAAGAGUUCAUAUCGACGGCGGUGUUUGGCACCUCGAUGUCGGCUCAUCACAUCCUGGGGCUGAAGUCGGUCCCAAGGGUAUGGCUGUUCGCCAUUUAAAGUGGUACGCGAGCUGGGUUUAGAACGUCGUGAGACAGUUCGGUCCCUAUCUGCCGUGGGCGUUGGAAGAUUGAAGGGGGCUGCUCCUAGUACGAGAGGACCGGAGUGGACGAACCUCUGGUGUUCGGGUUGUGUCGCCAGACGCAUUGCCCGGUAGCUAAGUUCGGAAUCGAUAACCGCUGAAAGCAUCUAAGCGGGAAGCGAGCCCUGAGAUGAGUCUUCCCUGAUACUUUAAGUAUCCUAAAGGGUUGUCGGAGACUACGACGUUGAUAGGUCAGGUGUGUAAGUGCUGUGAGGCAUUGAGCUAACUGAUACUAAUUGCCCGUGAGGCUUAACCAUACAACACCCAAGGGGUUU
rnacentral:rRNA from 1 species